CCUACGGGUGGCAGCAGUGGGGAAUAUUGGGCAAUGGGCGCAAGCCUGACCCAGCAACGCCGCGUGAAGGAAGAAGGCUCUCGGGUUGUAAACCUCUUUUAUUGAGGACGAAACAAAUGACGGUACUCAAUGAAUAAGCCACCGCUAACUACGUGCCAGCAGCCCUGGUAAUACGGAGGUGGCAAGCUUUAUCCGGAUUUACUGGGUGUAAAGGGUGUGUAGGCGGGACUGCAAGUCAGAUGGGAAAACCAUGGGCUCAACCCACGGCCUGCAUUUGAAACUGGAGUUCUUGAGUGAGGGAGAGGCAGGCGGAAUUCGGGGUGUAGCGGUGAAAUGCGUAGAUAUACGGAAGAACACCAGUUGCGAAGGCAGCCUGCUGGACAUUAACUGACGCUGAGGCGCGAAAGCGUGGGGAGCAAACAGGAUUAGAUACCCUAGUAGUC
rnacentral:rRNA from 1 species